rnacentral:rRNA from 1 species
AAUCAACGCUGGCGGCGUGCCUAACACAUGCAAGUCGAACGCGAAAGUCCCGCAAGGGAUCAGUAGAGUGGCAAACGGGUGAGUAACACGUGGGUGACCUGCCUUCGAGUGGGGGAUAACGUCCCGAAAGGGACGCUAAUACCGCAUGACAUCCUGCCUUUGAACAGGCGGAGAUCAAAGCUGGGGAUCGCAAGACCUAGCGCUUGAAGAGGGGCCCGCGUCCGAUUAGCUAGUUGGUGAGGUAACGGCUCACCAAGGCGACGAUCGGUAGCCGGCC